CCCAGUUCGGAUUGUAGUCUGCAACCCGACUACAUGAAGCCGGAAUCGCUAGUAAUCGCGGAUCAGAAUGCCGCGGUGAAUACGUUCCCGGGUCUUGUACACACCGCCCGUCACACCAUGGGAGUUGGAAAUGCCCGAAGUCAGUGGCCCAACCGGAAGGGGGGAGCUGCCGAAGGCAGGUUCGAUGACUGGGGUGAAGUCGUAACAAGGUACC
rnacentral:rRNA from 1 species